rnacentral:pre_miRNA from 1 species
UGGAGGGAUCUGUAAAGCUCAGGAGGGAUAGCACCAUGAAAAAUGAUGUGAUAUAUGUUGGUUUUAAAUUUUUGAAUCUUUUUUUUUUCCAACAAAACUUUCAAUUAUUUUGGCGCUAUCCAUCCUGAGUUCUAUGGCUUCUUCUU